GCAGCACAGCAGUAGCAAUACUGUGGGUGGCGAGUGGCGGACGGGUGAGGAAUACAUCGGAAUCUACCUUUUCGUGGGGGAUAACGUAGGGAAACUUACGCUAAUACCGCAUAAGACCUUCGGGUGAAAGUGGGGGACCUUCGGGCCUCACGCGGAUAGAUGAGCCGAUGUCGGAUUAGCUUGUUGGCGGGGUAAAAGCCCACCAAGGCGACGAUCCGUAGCUGGUCUGAGAGGAUGAUCAGCCACACUGGAACUGAGACACGGUCCAGACUCCUACGGGAGGCAGCAGUGGGGAAUAUUGGACAAUGGGCGCAAGCCUGAUCCAGCCAUACCGCGUGGGUGAAGAAGGCCUUCGGGUUGUAAAGCCCUUUUGUUGGGAAAGAAAUCCUGUCGGUUAAUAACCGGUAGGGAUGACGGUACCCAAAGAAUAAGCACCGGCUAACUUCGUGCCAGCAGCCGCGGUAAUACGAAGGGUGCAAGCGUUACUCGGAAUUACUGGGCGUAAAGCGUGCGUAGGUGGUUGUUUAAGUCUGCUGUGAAAGCCCUGGGCUCAACCUGGGAAUUGCAGUGGAUACUGGGCGACUAGAGUGUGGUAGAGGAUAGUGGAAUUUCCGGUGUAGCAGUGAAAUGCGUAGAGAUCGGAAGGAACAUCUGUGGCGAAGGCGACUAUCUGGGCCAACACUGACACUGAGGCACGAAAGCGUGGGGAGCAAACAGGGAUUAGAUACCCUGGUUAUCCACGCCCUAAACGAUGCGAACUGGAUGUUGGGCACAACUUGGUGCCCAGUAUCGAAGCUAACGCGUUUAAG
rnacentral:rRNA from 1 species